rnacentral:misc_RNA from 1 species
GAUGAAGAACGCAGCGAAAUGCGAUAAGUAAUGUGAAUUGCAGAAUUCAGUGAAUCAUCGAAUCUUUGAACGCACCUUGCGCCCUUUGGCUAUUCCGAAGGGCAUGCCUGUUUGAGUAUCAUGAACACCUCAACCCUCAUGGUUUGCCAUGAUGGGCUUGGACUUUGGGGGUCUUGCUGGAUUGUAGUCAGCUCCCCUUAAAUGAAUCGGCUUGCCAGUGUUUGGUGGCAUCACAGGUGUGAUAAAUAUCUACGCUUGUGGUUUUACAUCAGAUAACCUUCAGUGAUGGAGGUUCACUGGAGCUCAUAAAGGUGUCUCUCCUCUGUGAGGACAGCUCUUUGAAUGUUUGAUCUCAAAUCAGGCAGGACUACCCGCUGAACUUAAGCAUAUCAAUAAGCGGAGGA